GACCCCUAGUGGUUACCUUAAACUACCAAAUGUGUGUACAUUAUCUCUUGAUGAAACCUGGCCUUAAUGUUGAAUCAAGUCUUUAAACUUGUUUAAAUGGGUUAGGUGUUCAAGAUUUUGGCCUUUUCCAUAUAUUUUUUUAAUCAUAAAGAAAAUAAUUUGGAAUCAUGAGAUUUUAUUUUUAGUUCCUUUAUCUUUUUCCAAUAACUAAUGCUUUGAGCUCUAGUUUUGGUUCUUUUGCUCUAGGCAUCUUUCUUCUUAUUUGCUAAAAUGUUGUGUGAGUUUUUCCUACUUUGGAGCUUCAUUUGUUCCAUGUUUUAUAGAAAGUCUUAUUUUUCUCUUUACUAUUGGAUGGAAUGUGAGGUUCUUGCCAAACAACUUGCAAGUUUAGGUGCUAAGCUUAUCAUUUCUGCUUGAAAUGAAGCUGAAUUAGAGAGAGUCAAGAAACAGCUUUCUGAAAAUUCAAGUGGUAUAAUUAUAUCAUCACAAAUUUUAUAUUAUGAGAUGGCUACAAUGACUCAUUUUGAAAUAUAAGGGAAGACACCUGCACCAGGUCAGGCCGUAUACUCUGCUUCUAAAUUUGCUCUAAUUGGGUACUUUCACACUCUGCGUUCUGAGGUGCAAGCUUGGAUU